rnacentral:misc_RNA from 1 species
GUUACUUAAGCGGUUAGGCAGCCAAGUAACUAUUUCUGAGAUGAGGAAGCAAAGCAUAUCAGCAGCUAAACAAAUUGGGUUAUGCGCUUUCUUUUUUGAACUUGCUACACUUUUCUCACUCAAUGCUCCGCUCUCUCCGCUCCCGUCGCCGCCCCCGUUACGGAGCACACUUGUGCGCCGUCAUCUCCGCUCUCCUCCUCCUCAUCUCAUUGUCUCUCCUUCAUACCCGUCUCUCUUCCUCUCACUACUAUGGCCGCUACCAUCACCACGGCUACCACAGCCACUCCCGAAACGACGCUGAUUCAGCCGCCAUCAUUCAUCAAAAUCCCCUUCUAUCUGAUUCCGACGACAACUCAAACGAUGACGUAGUCGACAAGAUCGACGAGCACGAUACCUUCGAAGACCAAAACGACAGCACUGGUUUCAGAAUUGACGAUGAAGAGUUCUCUGAAGGGGACCUUGAAAAUGGCCAAACCAAAAGCAAAAGGAAGAUUUCCUCUUCUGGGUAUUUUGUAGAUCACAUAACCGGAUCGAUUCGCAGAGCUCUCAAUAAACGCUCAAUCGACGAUUGGGAUUAUGAUUAUAAUUCGUUUAGUGUGGGGUUGAACGUAGAGGAUCAAAGCAAGGACGCGUUUGGAAGUGACGAUAUUCCUAUAGAUGAGCAUGUGAGGAGGAAAGUGAACGAGGUUGAUGGGAUUGAGGAUGCCUUGUUGUUAAAGAUUGGGAAAAGAGUUUCUCCAUUAAGGGAAGGGUGGGGGGACUGGUUUGAUAAGAAGAGCGAUUUCUUGAGGAGGGAUAGAAUGUUCAAGUCGAAUUUGGAGAUGUUAAAUCCUUUGAAUAAUCCCUUUUUGCAGGACCCUGAUGGGGUUGGGGUUACUGGGUUGACGAGAGGGGAUAAGGUGUUGCAGAAGCUGUUGUUUAAUGAGUUUAAGAAGACCCCAUUUCUUGUUAAGAAGCCGUUGAGGGUUUUGAGAAUGACUUCCGAGGAUGAAGUGGAAGAAAAUGGUCAUGUGGUUGGAAUUAGGAAGAGCGGUGAUAAUGGCAGAGGAACAGAGAGAGAGAGUGAUUUCAAAAAUGGGGGUGGGAUUAAAAUAGCAGAAAGGAGGAUUUUUCAUGAGAAUGAGAGUACUGGAUCACAUAGUGAGAGAUUAAAAAAUGUUAUUGAAAAUCUGAUUUCUGGUGGGAAUGGGAAUGUAUUGAAUGAAGAUGAAAGUAAUGUGAUUCAAGGGUCCAGUUCAAGUAAGGGAUCAUCUACUGAGAAUAUAAAAGAUCCCAAUGGAAAUGGGAAUUCAAAUACAAAUGAGAAUAGUAUUGAUGGAGAACUAAGGCAAAUGGAGAAUAGAGAGUCUAAGUUGCGGAGGAAGUCUGAGGAGUUGAGUUAUGCACUUGCAGACGGGAAAAGAUGGGGUUAUUUUCCUGGUUUGCAUCCUCAUUUGUCUUUCUCAGAUUUCAUGGAUUCUUUUUUCGGGAAGGAGAAGUGUGACAUCAGGGUGUUCAUGGUGUGGAAUUCCCCGUCUUGGAUGUAUACUGUUAGGCACCAGAGGGGGCUUGAGAGUCUGCUGUUGCACCACAGAGAGGCUUGUGUUGUAGUGCUAUCGGAGACAAUUGAGCUGGAUUUUUUUGCUGACAGCUUUGUGAAAGAUGGUUACAAAGUUGCUGUUGCCAUGCCAAAUCUUGAUGAAUUGCUAAAGGAUACACCAACCCAUGUAUUUGCUGAUGUUUGGUAUGAGUGGAAAGGGACAAAGUUCUAUCCCACGCACUACAGUGAGCUUAUCCGGCUUGCUGCUCUCUACAAAUAUGGUGGUAUCUACCUAGAUUCAGAUAUUAUAGUUCUAAAUCCAUUUCCUGCACUUAAUAAUACUGUUGGUCUGGAAGAUCAGCUCGCUGGAAGUUCUUUGAACGGGGCUGUGAUGGCAUUUAGAAAGAACAGUCUGUUCAUAAUGGAAUGCUUGAAAGAGUUUUAUGCGACAUAUGAUGAUACCCAAUUGAGAUGGAAUGGGGCUGACCUCUUGACAAGAGUUGCAAGAAGAUUUUUGAAAAAAGAAGACAACUUUAUAACACAGUUGGAAUUGUCAGUGCAACCCUCUUACAUUUUCUUCCCUAUCGGUUCACAAGAUAUGGAAAGUUACUUUGCCAGACCAACAAUGGAGACUGAAAAAGGUAGACAAGAGGCUUUUCUCAAUAAAAUUCUGAGGGAGUCCUUAACAUUCCAUUUUUGGAGCAGCUCGACAUCUGCUCUCAUCCCAGAGGCAGGAAGCCUCGUGGCCCAGCUUUUUGAUCAAACCUGUAUUCGUUGCUCUGAUAUAUUGUGAUUUUAUGCUUUUCACAUAACUCAUCAAUUCUGUUAAACCUUUGUUAAGUGGGAGGAACUAGGGCGGCAACCUGCUGCAAGUGCCACAAAAAUUUUCAGAAUGUAGCUUUUCUAGUGAUUAGAGUUUCAUGUCCGAAAUACCAAGCAUGUCUAUUGAUGCGACUGUACAGUUUUCUAUCUUUUCAUGUUAAUUUAUUAAAUAGCGGCAAAAAAAGCCAAUUUUGUAAGCAAAUUAAGGUAUACUUUAACAAUGUUUGGUUCCAUGCUAUAAAGGAUGAUUUGGUGUAUGCAAGUUGGUUCAGCAGAUUACGACCUGCUUCAUUAAUGGGAAAAUUAUAAAUUUUUGUACAGGAAAAUAAAUUGUAUUUAUUCUAACUUAGUUUACUAGUUCUUCAAUAUGGG